CAGACCACCCGCAAAGCUCAACCUCUUGACGUGUCAGGUGCGGCCCAACCCUGAGGAAAAGAGAACGUUUGAUUUAGUUACACACAAUCGCACAUACCAUUUCCAGGCUGAGGACGAGCAAGAAUGCAUGAUAUGGGUUUCUGUGCUGCAGAACAGUAAGGAGGAGGCCUUGAACACGGCUCUCGGA